AUGCAUGAGUCCUCCAAGGAAGUUGGAAUCAAGGAUGACAAUGAUGAGUCUUGUUACAGCUGUGAGGAAAAGAUGCGUGAGUCAGUAAAGGAAGGUGGAAUCAGGGAUGAAAAUUUUGAUUCUUGUAGAUUUUCUGAGAAGUUUGGAUUAUUCAAGAGGAUAUUAUCGAUGAAGUUGUUUCACGUAGAAGACCUCUCAUCGUUUGGUGGUGAUUAUUUUUAUCAUCCACCCAGCUCUGGUUGGGGCCACAGCUGGGAUGAGGUCUCUGCUGCUGUGCGCUAUGAGCUGGAGAUAUCUCGUAUUCAGCGUGAGGACCAGCGUAGUGGCAUGCAUCACGUUCUGGGAAUGCCCAGGUACAUUGCUCGCCAGUUGUAUUAUCAGAGAAGAGUUUUACGUGAAGCACAGGUGUUGAAGAACCGUUUUGCUGAUCUAAAGAAGGCUUUCCUAGAGUGUGAGAAGUCUUCAACCAAAGGGAUGUCUGAUUUCAUGGAGGUCCUCAAAGACUUCACAGCAAGAAAUGAGCAAAAAUUGGAAGAAGGGCUUGAGGCCAUCAAAUUGGCAACACAUGAAGACUUGGUCUCCAGGCAGCGUACUUAUGAUGAGUUAGCAUCCAAGUUGAAGUCCAUGGACCAGAAGGAAAUCUCUCCAUUUCUCAGCUAUAUAGACAAUCUUGUCAGGACAGUUGAGAUACCAGUCAACAUGAGGAAGCGUCUGAGUGAGCUCCGCAAGGAGCUAUUUACGCUCCAAAGUUUGGCUAUUCAGCUACUGGUAUUUGUCACUUCUAAUAAGCUGCCGGCCCCACCCUCAGUUACUCUCCUGGAAGAAGCAAAUGCUAAAUAUGCUAAUCUCCCUCUCCCUGUUCUGGUGAGCUCUGAAGUUAAAGCUCCUCGUUUUUACAGAUCGUUUGGCAAGGAUUCGAAGGAUCUUCUCUAUAAGCACUACUGCUCUGAUGCUCCCAUGACUUCGAAGACGAUCGUCAAUUUCGACAUGAGGGGAAGGUCGUCCUUAUCUAUGCUGUUGUCUACUGACCAGCAGGUAAUGUUCAAGUGCAACUAUGCUGAUAAUUUGCCAAAAAAUCUGAUGGCUACGAUGCUCUUUGGGGUGCCAAGCAGUAACUCCAAGGUCAAGCUUCAGUAUUUAUUCCCAUAUGGUGGUCUGAACGGUAGCUUCAAUUUUGGUGAAGAAAGUGUGUUAAAGGUUGCAUUUUCUGGUGGUUAUGAUCGGUGGUAUGCUGGAGGCAAGGUUAAGGUGAAUACUUGCAAUGCUAUGAAGCAUUAUGAAUUUGGUGUUUCAUACGAGUCUGCUACUAUAAAGUUCGACAUUUUGAAGAUCUCUUUGUUUGAUCGCCCUGAUUCUGCUAUCUCUGGGGCAAUGGAGCUGAGGUACACUCGCUCUUCAAACACUGCUGUUGCUGCUGCUGGUGUUUCAUGGACGCCUGAUGACAAGACCAAGUUUAAGGCACGAGUUGCUUCCAAUGGUGAAGCAUCACUCUUGUUGCAACAUCGUGCCUCGUCGAGCAUUGACUUCUCUGCUUCUGCGAUGUUCAACUUUCGUGCAUUACAUGAGGCCCCCAAAGUAGGCUUCUCUUUUGAUUUCAGGCCGGCCUUCCUCUCGUCCUUUGCCUCUCCACCCUUUGUUCCAUCUGACAGCACUGCCCCGGCAGUGUGA
rnacentral:rRNA from 1 species